GGAAUAUUGCGCAAUGGGCGAAAGCCUGACGCAGCAACGCCGCGUGUGUGAUGAAGGUCUUCGGAUCGUAAAGCACUGUCGCGAGGGACGAAUAAGGGGCGGGCUAACAUCCCGUUCCGAUGACGGUACCUAGAGAGGAAGCACCGGCUAAACCGGUGCCAGCAGCCGCGGUAAUACAGAGGGUGCAAGCGUUGUUCGGAAUUAUUGGGCGUAAAGCGCGUGUAGGCGGCCUUGCAAGUUGGGUGUGAAAGCCCUCGGCUUAACCGAGGAAGUGCGCCCAAAACUACGAGGCUUGAGUACCGGAGAGGGUGGCGGAAUUCCCGGUGUAGAGGUGAAAUUCGUAGAUAUCGGGAGGAACACCAGUGGCGAAGGCGGCCACCUGGACGGCUACUGACGCUGAGACGCGAAAGCGUGGGGAGCAAAC
rnacentral:rRNA from 1 species